CGCUUGGCCACGUUCAACAAGCCGGCAUCCCUCAACGCGUGCUCCUGAGCCCCUGAGCAAGGCUGAGGAACCCACCUGACUCGCCCUCCGAAACCGAAGCUCAAGGCUGAACCUGACCUGCCCAAGGUCCCCCAAAGGCUGCUGCUGGGUACUCCCCAGAGAACUUCUGAGUCCCCUGAUCUUUCCAGAAGUAGAGAAGAGCAUGUGGACCAGAAACUUAGGAGGGACCUUUGAGGGGCUCCUUCGAGAGGAAAUCCCUGAGAGCCCUUGAAGUCACUUGAAGCUGCUAGUUCCCGUAAUAUUGGUUGGGCAAUUGUGGAUCAGAAGAGGUUUCAAGACUGAUGCAUCUGAUCUCAGGAGGCCAUGGGCCACUCCACAAGAAAGCCUCCAGAGCUGGCAGAAGGACUCUCACAAGGUCGAGGUGUCCACUCCUAGACAAAAGAGACAGGCCUUACCCCCACUGCUGAGGAGAUGAAGGAAUGGCAGAAGCUGGAAGACGUCAGCCUAACCUCACAAGGCCACGCUAAGACCAUGGCACAGGGCAUGGGAAGCAGCAGUGGUUUGGGCCAAGCUACCAGGUGUUCUCAGGGCUCACGAGAUCGAGUGAAGAGCUUCUUGAGCAAGAGGUGGACAUGAUCUCUUCAAAGGAUAAGACUUUGUUCAUCUCUGUAUUGGUCCAAAGAAGGCUUAGCGACUACACUCACAAGGCCACUUUGAUUCCUUUAAGUGUCCUGUUGUGCCCUCCAGUCCUUUCAGCCCUCCCACCCACAGCACGUGAGGCCACCACAAAUUAGGUUUUACAUUUCAAAACAUGAUGCUGACACAUCUG